CCCCUUUCUCUCCUUCUCUUCCUCCUCCUUUCCCCUCCUCCAAUCGAAGAAGCCACCCAACCCCUCCCAGAUGAAUCCGACCCUAACCAGUACCUACAGAUCUCUUACAAUUAUGGUAUCAGACCCUUCAAGGACCUUCCCUAUCUCAUUCUCUUUGCUUUCUUUGUUAUUUGCACUUUCGCUUUUGGAAUCUUCUCUAUUUUCCACAGAAACCAAAAUUACUCCAGGCUUUCCUCCUAUACAUACGACUUCAACUCAACUUCUUGCGUCAAGGACUCGUUGUCUUCGUCCACUGAUGGUUUUUUCGAAACUCAUGUGUAUUAUUACCUUUUGAGUUCGUCGAAUUCUGGUGUUUGGAAAGCUUUGAUAUGGAGUCUUGUAAUUACUUUGAUCUUGAGUGCACCCAUUUGCUUUCUUUUGCUUUUGUUGCUCAAUCAUUACACCAAGCAGAUUGUGUACAUCUCGCUUCCCUUCUUUGUCGUUAUUCCCAUCUUUUUCAAUGUUUAUUGGUUCGUUGCCUGCACAGUUAGCUCUUCUUGCAGCGAUGUAUUCCCGUUGGUUUAUAGGAUUUUGGUGCUGGUUUUUGUCUUCUUGGUUAUUGGGGUCAUUGUGUGGAUUUUUGUGGUUAAUUGGCAUAGAAUUGAGUUGACUGUGAUGAUAAUUGGGGUUGCCUCCGAUGCACUUUCUAAGAAUUUGGGCUUAUUUGUGGCGUUACCGUUAUUGACACUUUGUUUAGUGGUUUAUUAUGCUCCAAUUAUAGUGUUUUUGGUGUUUUCAAGGCAUAAUGGGAAAAUUGUGCCAAAGGAAUCCAGUGCUGGGUAUGCUUGUGUUUGGAGGAAGCAGGAUAGUUGGGUGCCUGCGUACUAUGCAUUGGCAAUUCUUACAAUGCUGUGGUCUUUGACUGUAAUGAUCGAAGCUCAGGUUUAUGUGAUCAGUGGGACUAUUGCUCAGUGGUACUUCACAAAGGAAGACUCAGCUCCUAAGAGGAGUAUUAGAAGCUCUUUGAGAAAUGCAUUUGGCCCCUCCUCUGGAACUGUAUGCCUAUCUGGACUACUUAUUUGUGUUGUUCGUAUGGUGCGGGCUGCUGUUGAUAGUGCAAGACAAGAGGAUAUUCCUGGGAUGGUGAACCUUAUAUUGCGGUGUUGUGUUAAUGCAUUACUGUCAGCAGUAGAUUUUCUUAACAAGUUCACAAUCAACUUUGCGGCAAUAACUGGUGAAGCCUACUGUACCUCUGCAAGAAUGACAUAUGAGCUCUUAAAACGCAAUCUUCUCUCUGCCGUUUUCGUGGAGACUGUCUCAUCUCGUUUGUUGGCUGGAAUUGCCUUUGUCCUCUCAGCAAUAUAUGCAAUUGUGGUUUUUGUCCUCUUUUAUGCGAUCAAUCUUGGGGUUGACUCAUAUCUUGUAUCUUUUCUUGCAUGGAUGCUUUUGAUAGUGGUUCUGGGCUUCUUUGUCCGUGUGCUGGACAAUGUGAUUGACACUAUUUAUGUAUGCUAUGCCAUAGAUAGAGAUAGGGGCGAGGUUUACAAACAAGAUGUUCAUGAGGUUUAUAUUCACUUGCCCAUCAGCAGAAACCAUAGAUCGCUUAUUGUUCCGAGAACUCACGAUGUAUGAUAAAAAUCCUUGACCUAUCAAGUGCUGCCUGGAAACUUCUCUCUUUAUUGAACAAGCGUCAAAAAUGACAAUACAUCAAUUGGAAGUAUGCACAACUUGUCAACUGGCAGUUACA
rnacentral:misc_RNA from 1 species